UGUGUCAUCUUCCUAGUCAAGUUUUUUGACUUGUACAACUGGCACCCAAAGGUAGGAAAGACAUGUCAUAUGGGGAUCAAAAGGUGGAAGAAGAUGAUGAGUCUAAAGAUAAUAGUGAGUGGUUGAAGCUGGAGCUUUGGAAAACUGGAAAUGGAUGGCCAAGGAUGUUUAAGAAACUAAGGAGAACCAGGUCCCCUGACACUUGGCGUCCUGUGACUGAGUGAGUCCUAGGCGUCCCGCCUUGAUCCUGCGUCCAAGAGCUGGGCUUCAGGUCAGUACUGUGUAACCAGUACGGCAGUGCUCUGUGUAGCACGGUCAGCAGUUGAAAGGUUGGGUCUUGGGGUUGUCCUUCUGUGAGUGUCUUUGUUCAUGUCUUACAGGUUUGAACAUGAAAAGCAAAAUUUAAAUCAUAAAUGCUUGUAUCUUUAAGAGCCAUUCAAUGGAAGUUACUUCCUUGAUUUUAUACCAAACAUUUAUGAACUAUACUACAAGAACUGUCCAUAUGCUUUUUUUUUAAAGAUUUAUUUAUUUAUUUGAAAGACAAAGAGAGGCAGAGAGAGAAAAAAAAGAGAUCUUCCAUCCUUUGAUUCACUCUGCAAAUGGCAACAAUGGCUGGAGUUGGGCCAAUCUGAAGCCAGGAGCCAGGA
rnacentral:lncRNA from 1 species